UAGGUUAAAGCUUUGCUGAAGCACAGGCUUUUUAGUCCUGAGAACUCGUGUGAGUAGCCUAA
rnacentral:tRNA from 1 species